rnacentral:rRNA from 1 species
GACAGAGGUGGCGAGCGUUGCUCGGAAUUACUGGGCUUAAAGGGCGAGUAGGCGUCACGGUAAGUUGGAUGUGGAAUCUUUUUGCUUAACGAAGAAAUUGCAUCUGAAACUAUCGGGAUUGAGUCAGUGAGGGGAGGGCGGAAUUCCUGGUGUAGCGGUGAAAUGCGUAGAUAUCAGGAGGAAGGCCUGUGGCGAAGGCGGCCCUCUGGCACUGUACUGACGCUGAGGCGCGAAAGCGUGGGGAGCAAACAGG